UACCUGGUUGAUCCUGCCAGUACUAUAUGCUUGUUUCAAAGGCUAAGCCAUGCAAGUGUAAGUUUAAAUGAAAUUUAAUAGUAAAACUGCGAAUGGCUCAUUAUAUCAGUUAUAGUUUAUUUGAUAAAUUUUAUAAUUUUUAUAGGUUAUAAUUACAUGGAUAACUGUAGUAACAUAGAGCUAAUACAUGCAUAAAUACUCAACUAUUAUGGAAGAGUAUGCACUUAUUAGAAAUAUUAAAUCAAUAGCUUAGCAAUAAGUUUUCUAAAAUGAUUUAUAAUAACUGAACAAAUCGUAUAAUCUUGUAUUGACGAUAUAUCAUUCAAAUUUCUGCCCUAUCAACUUGUAGUUAGUAUAGCGGACUAACUAGGUAAUAACGGGUAACGGAGAAUUAGGGUUUGAUUCCGGAGAAGGAGCAUGAGAAACGGCUACUAUUUCUAAGGAAAGCAGCAGGCGCGCAAAUUAUUCAAUGAGAACAAAUUCUCGAAAUAGUGACAAAAAAUAACAAUAUAAUAUCUUUUAAAGAUCUUAUAAUUGGAAUGAGUACAAUUUAAAUCCCUUAAUGAGUAACAAUUAGAGGGCAAGUCUGGUGCCAGCAGCCGCGGUAAUUCCAGCUCUAAUAGCGUAUAUUAAUAUUGUUGCAGUUAAAAAGCUCGUAGUUGAAUAUUAAAUUAUAUUAUUGAUUAUUAUAUUGAUUUAUAAUAGUUAUAAUUAAUUUUUCCUACUAAGAUUCAAUAUUUUUCUUAAUUGAAUAAUAUUAUUACUUUCGGGUAGUUGAUUGAUAUUAAAAAUUCCAUAUAAUGGUAUGCAGACUUAAACCUCUAAGUAUUAUUAUUUUGGAUCAAAAUUUUUAAUGUUAAUUAGAAUUUUAGUUCAUUUACUUUGAGAAAAUUAGAGUGUUUAAAUCAGUCUCUUUGGACUUUAAAUAUAAUUAGCAUGGGAUAAUAAAAUAAGAUUUAGUAUUAUUUUGUUGGUUUUUAUAAUAUUAAAUAAUGAUUAAUAGGGAUAGUUGGGGGUAUUUAUAUUAGACGGUUAGCGGUGAAAUGCUCAGAUCCGUUUAAGAUAAACUAAAGCGAAAGCAUUUACCAAGGAUGUUUUCAUUAAUCAAGAACGAAAGUUAAGGGAUCGAAGACGAUCAGAUACCGUCGUAGUCUUAACUAUAAACUAUGCCGACUAGGGAUGUGAGAAGUUAAUUUAAAUUAGAUAUUUAUAUAUUUAAUUAUAUCCUCUUAUGCACCUUGUGAGAAAUCAUAAGUUAUUAGGUUCUGGGGGAAGUAUGGUCGCAAGUCUGAAACUUAAAGGAAUUGACGGAGGGGCACCACCAGGAGUGGAGCGUGCGGCUUAAUUUGACUCAACACGGGAAAACUUACCAGGUCCAGACAUUAUUAGGAUUGACAGAUUGAGAGCUCUUUCAUGAUUUAAUGGGUGGUGGUGCAUGGCCGUUCUUAGUUGGUGGAGUGAUUUGUCUGGUUAAUUCCGAUAACGAACGAGACCUUUACCAGUUAAAUAGUAAUGUUUAUAUAGUAAUAUAUAAAUAGAAUAACUUCUUAGAGGGACUAUUGAUCAAAAAAUCAAAGGAAGUAAAGGCGAUAACAGGUCUGUGAUGCCCUUAGAUGUUCUGGGCUGCACGCGCGCUACAAUGAUAUAUUCAAAAAGUUUUCAAAAUAUUUUAUAUUUUGUAUUACUUAAUCGGAAGGUUUGGUUAAUCUUUUAAACGUAUAUCGUGCUUGGGAUAGAUAAUUGUAAUUAUUUAUCUUGAACCAGGAAUUCCUAGUAAUCAUAACUCAUCAGGUUAUGAUGAUUACGUCCCUGCCCCUUGUACACACCGCCCGUCGCUGCUACCGAUUGGAUGAUCCGGUGAAAUCUACAGAUUAUAUUAAUUAUUUAAUGCAAGUUAAACUUUAAUUAAAGAAGUUGAUUAAACCUUAUUAUCUAGAGGAAGCAAAAGUCGUAACAAGGUUUCCGUAGGUGAACCUGCGGAAGGAUCA
rnacentral:rRNA from 1 species